AACGAACGUUAGCGGCGCGCCUAACACAUGCAGGUCGAGCGAGAAAGGGAGCAAUCCCCGGUACAGCGGCGCACGGGUGAGUAACACGUAGGUAACCAACCUCCGAGUGGUGGAUAACCUUCCGAAAGGAGGGCUAAUACAGCAUGAGCCCACGGCUGCGAGAGCAGCAGGGGAAAAGUCGGCCAAUCCACGGAAGCUGACGCUUGGAGACGGGCCUGCGGCCCAUCAGCUAGUUGGUGAGGUAAUGGCUCACCAAGGCGAAGACGGGUAGCUGGUCUGAGAGGAUGAUCAGCCACACUGGAACUGAGACACGGUCCAGACUCCUACGGGAGGCAGCAGUGGGGAAUCUUGCGCAAUGGGCGAAAGCCUGACGCAGCGACGCCGCGUGGGUGAUGAAGGCCUCGGGUUGUAAAGCCCCUGUGGAGGGGGGAACGAAUAAGUGUUGCUAAUAUCCAGCAUGAUGACGGUACCCCUUUAGCAAGCACCGGCUAACUCUGUGCCAGCAGCCGCGGUAAGACAGAGGGUGCAAACGUUGUUCGGAAUGACUGGGCGUAAAGCGCGUGUAGGCGGCCUCGCAAGUCGGGUGUGAAAGCCCUGGGCUCAACCCAGGAAGUGCACUCGAAACUGCAAGGCUCGAGUUCCGGAGAGGAAAGCGGAAUUCUCGGUGUAGAGGUGAAAUUUCGUAGAUAUCGAGAGGAACACCGGUGGCGAAGGCGGCUUUCUGGACGGCGACUGACGCUGAGACGCGAAAAGGCGUGGGGGAGCAAACAGGAUUAGAUACCCUGGUAG
rnacentral:rRNA from 1 species